rnacentral:tRNA from 1 species
AGGACCGUAGUUUAACGGUAGAACAGAGGUCUCCAAAACCUCUAGUAGGGGUUCGAUUCCCUUCGGUCCUG